rnacentral:other from 1 species
UAUUUUCUGCCCCGUUUGUUUGCCGGUCGGGUAUAUCCCUUGAGCCUAAUUUCGUACCCCGGGGAACAUGAUUUGUGAUUGAUGUGAGCAUGUCCGCUACGUGCGGAAAGCCUGAUUCAGUAACAAUCUCCCCACCUGAACCGAUUGGUUCAAGGUAGCACGCCAGCGACGACGGUGGUGGUUUAUAC